GACGAACGCUGGCGGCGUGCCUAAUACAUGCAAGUAGAACGAGUUGCGAACGGGUGAGUAACGCGUGGUAACCUGCCUCAUAACGGGGGUUAACUACUGGAAACGGUUGCUAAUACCGCAUACCAUCAGUUGGGCCCAGAUGGGAUUAGCUUGUUGGUGGGGUAACGGCGUCCCAAGGCGACGAUCCCUAGCUGGUCUGAGGGGAUGACCAGCCACACUGGAACUGAGACACGGUCCAGACUCCUACGGGAGGCAGCAGUGGGUAAUAUUGAACAAUGGGCGCAAGCCUGAUGCAGCCAUGCCGCGUGUAUGAAGAAGGCCUUCGGGUUGGAAAGUACUUUCAGCGGGGAGGCGUUACCCGCAGAAGAAGCACCGGCUAACUCCGUGCCAGCAGCCGCGGUAAUUC
rnacentral:rRNA from 1 species